rnacentral:lncRNA from 1 species
UCCCUGUUGAAAAAAGAAAUUAGACUGAAAAGAGAUUUUUAAAUAAAAGCAGCUUCAGUCUCAAACAUUUUUUUUCUCUUUUUCCUGUUUCUUCAACAGACACACUUAAGAGCAUGAUGAGCAAAGCCCCUAAAUGAUGAUUUCCCAAGACCCCAAGAAGUCUGCGCCUCGAAGUCACUCCAAAGAAUGCCUGUCUUUCUUCCUCUUGGGUUGUGCCCCUGAUACCACCACAACCAGUUGAAAGGUUGCUCACGGCAGCACGCGGUGAGGUGGCAGAGACCUGGAAACAACCGCAGGCCCUCCGACCCGAAUACACCGAAACACAGCGAAAGACGGUGGCACCUCCAGCCCCUGGACUAUCAGGCAGCUGCAAGCUGGAUGGGUGUGUCUUUUACAAUCAGAACUGCUCCUCCAAAGUAAUAUAAAAAACUCUGUGGGCCUAAAAGCCUAAUAACUCUAAACUAUCCAGAGUAGCUACUCUGCUAAUUAUUUGUGAACUAUGUCUGUCAUAAAUCUAGACUUCCACUUGCAUUUUUUAAAAAAGAUGUCACAACAUAUUUCUGGGAGAGUUUUGCAAAACUAGCUCAACAUUUUAGCAGGAUCGGACAACCUGUGGUUUCCUAGAACAUCCCAGAAAAAUCAGAGCUGAGGACGACUUCCACACUUCCUGUUGUGUCUGGAAGAUAAUGACACGGCGUGGACAGUUUAAGGAAGACAGGGGCAUCUCGCUGCUUUGGUGUCUGGAAACAGAGCGUGGAGGAAAGUUGCUGAUGCCCGUGGUGCCCUCUUCUAUGCAAUUCGGGCAAAUGGCUCCAGGCAAACAGACCCACUGAGCGGUUGCCAUGGUCUGCUGAGAAAUUCGAAAAACAAAGAAAGCCUAAAAAUGUUGGCAUGUUGAAACAACUUGUAUCUUCUGCCAAAGUCAGCUUCAGCCCUCGGAACUCACACCGUUCGCACGUGGAGUCGGUAGUCCAGCAGCUUCUCAGAUCAAGGUGCUACGCUGGCAGAGGCACCCUGCAGGCUCUGACCCCUGAGUGGAUGGCCUGGAGAGCUGUGCCUCCCCUGGGUGCUGACCUCAGAAGCAGCUGAUCCUAUGGACACAGGAGAGUCGGCAGCGGCAGCUCAGCAUCAAGUCCACUGACAGCAAGAGCACCGUCUCCAGUUGGACAACUUUAAUACGAAAGUAGCUGUGAGAGGCCCCGGCGGGGCAGGGGCACCCAGAUCCUCAGGGCGCUGUUGCGUGGCAUCUUGAGAGCUCCGUUAGGCUGCCUUCUUCAGGUCAGAGUUCUACGGGCUGAAAUAAGCACUUCCGUGUUACUGCAGCAAGACUGUGGGCUUCCAGUGAGCUUGGAAACACUCAGGAGCAAGCCACACACGUACCCCACCUGCCCCAGCCGUGUGCAAGUGUGCACACCCAGCUGCGAGAGGACGCAGAGCUGCUCGGUGUGGUGGGAGGAAGACCCGCCUGGGCUGUCAGGCUUCCGAGCCUCUUGGCGGCCCUUCCACCACCACCACCGAGGGCCGGCCCUUCAGGCACUUGACAGGGUUUCAAGGAUCCACUGACCGCCGCCCAGCACUUGUCAGAGGCGUCCGGGACACCUGACAGCUAUGGGAUGGGGUCUGUCGACUCUUCCUAGAGUCUCAGAGUGCUGGUUCUGCACGAAGUGACACCGUGAGAAAGCAAUAUAUUCAAAUCGUGUUUGCACAGUUUCCUUCAGCCAGUAAUAUUAUCUAUGUGAAUUUUUAAGCUGAAUUUUUAUUCUUUUAGAAGUUAUACAGAGGUUACAGAAUCAAACGGUUGCCCGAGACCUGUGAUAAAAAGCAUGGACCUCCACCUCCAGUUUCCCAUUCCCCAGAGGCGACUAACUUUUACUCUUUGAGCUGAUUGUUUUCGUACUUACCAUGUCUAAAUGAUACGCUUUUCUGACUAGUUCCUAGUUCUCGGUUUUCAUUCCAUCUAUGGACAUUCCACAGGGGAAAAUGUGGACUUGGCUCCCCAUAGCCCCGCUCUACUCGAUGACCCUGACUGUCCUUUCUGUGCAUUUACCCCUUCUUUUUGGUGGAGUGUGUCCUUCAGUAGCUUCCUGAG